UACAGAGGAUGCAAGCGUUAUCCGGAAUGAUUGGGCGUAAAGCGUCUGUAGGUGGCUUUUUAAGUCCGCCGUCAAAUCCCGAGGCUCAACUCUGGACAGGCGGUGGAAACUACCAAGCUGGAGUACGGUAGGGCAGAGGGAAUUUCCGGUGGAGCGGUGAAAUGCGUAGAGAUCGGAAAAGAACACCAACGGCGAAAGCACUCUGCUGGGCCGACACU
rnacentral:rRNA from 1 species